rnacentral:rRNA from 1 species
UCGGGAAUUUUGGGCAAUGGGCGAAAGCCUGACCCAGCAACGCCGCGUGAGGGAUGAAGUAUUUCGGUAUGUAAACCUCGAAAGAAUGGGAAGAAUAAAUGACGGUACCAUUUAUAAGCUCCGGCUAACUACGUGCCAGCAGCCGCGGUAAUACGUAGGGAGCAAGCGUUGUUCGGAUUUACUGGGCGUAAAGGGCGCGUAGGCGGCGCGGUAAGUCACUUGUGAAAUCUCUGAGCUUAACUCAGAACGGCCAAGUGAUACUGCUGUGCUAGAGUGCGGAAGAGGCUACCGGAAUUCUUGGUGUAGCGGUGAAAUGCGUAGAUAUCAAGAGGAACACCUGAGGCGAAGGCGGGUUGCUGGGCCGACACUGACGCUGAUGCGCGAAAGCCAGGGGAGCAAACG